CAUGGGGGUGGACUUCCCCCUUGCUGUUCUCAUGAUAGUGAGUUCUCACAAGAUCUGGUUGUUUAAAAGUGUGUAGCACUUCCCUCUUUGCUCUUUCUCUCCUGCUCCAUCAUCUUAAGACGUGCUUGCUUCCCCUUUGUCCUUCUGCCACAAUUGUAAGUUUCCUGAGGCCUCCCCAGCCAUGCCUCCUGUACAGCCUAUGGAACUGCACCUCACUGGAUGGCCACUGGCAGGCUAAAAGAAGAUUAAGAGACAGGCCCUGCUCUGCACAGGAGAUGACACUCACUGUAAAUUACUUCACUGAGAAAAAGGAAGGCAUCCACUGCAGCUGUCACCCACUUGCACGUACCUGACUAUCAAGAAGCUGCAUGACAUUAUGGAAAUCCCGGGGAUAUGGAGAACGGUCUUCUUUAAGCUCAUGUGCAUCUUUUAAUGUGCCUAUGUUGGACUUGAUCUGCAUGUUGGACUUCUGGAUUUCUGACAGUUGCUGUAAGAUAAAAUUCAAGCUCAGUACUACAGUUAGACUUUCAUGAGACUGAAACGGAGAAUAAAAUCAGGGAGCACGU